UAUAUACUGUCUCAUAUAUAUAUUUACGAAUUUAAAAUUUUAAUAAAAAUGUUAAAAUUUAUUUAUGGGACGAUAAGACCCUAUAGAAUUUUAUAUUAAUUUAUUUAUUUACUUAAUAAAUAAUUUAAAUUAAUAUUUAAUUGGGAGGAUUAUUAAAUUUAAAAAACUUUAAUUUAUAUAAACUUUAAUUAAAGAAAAUAUUAUGAUCUUGAAUUUUAAAUUAUUAGAAUAAAUUACCUUAGGGAUAACAGCGUAAUAUUUUUUUAUAGAUCUUAUAGAAAAAAAUGAUUGCGACCUCGAUGUUGAAUUAAGA
rnacentral:rRNA from 5 species